rnacentral:rRNA from 1 species
UGGGGAAUAUUGGGCAAUGGAGGCAACUCUGACCCAGCCAUGCCGCGUGGGUGACGAAGGUCUUCGGAUUGUAAAGCCCUUUCGGCGGGGACGAUGAUGACGGUACCCGCAGAAGAAGCCCCGGCUAACUUCGUGCCAGCAGCCGCGGUAAUACGAAGGGGGCUAGCGUUGUUCGGAAUUACUGGGCGUAAAGGGCGUGUAGGCGGCCCGUUAAGUCAGGUGUGAAAUUCCUGGGCUCAACCCAGGACGUGCGCCUGAGACUGGCGGGCUUGAGUCCGGGAGAGGAUGGUGGAACUCCCAGUGUAGAGGUGAAAUUCGUAGAUAUUGGGAAGAACACCCGUGGCGAAGGCGGCCAUCUGGACCGGUACUGACGCUAAGGCGCGACAGCGUGGGGAGCAAACAGGAUUAGAUACCCGGGUAGUCC